CACUUAAAUAUUUAACUAUAAAAAUAAAAAGUUACAAAUAACAUUUUUUUCAAAACUUUUGAUUAGUAUUGAUAGCUGCUAAAUAUUUAUGCCGCUUUUUUUAGUUUUCAUGAUUUCAUGAAAUCAUUCACGAAUUCUUACUCAAUUCUGCAAUAUAAACCACACAAUUCGUACAUGAACGAAGCCGUUAAAGCGCGCCAUCUGUGGCAUCACCAUAAUAACACUUAACUUCAAAAUACUGUGCUAUUGUGACUUCAAGCUUAAACAUAACUGUAAUCCAAAUAAUAGGAAUUUCAAUAAUAAGAAUUGUAGCAGGCUGCGCUGUCAGUUAAAAAUAUUCACUUUUUCCUCUUAUGAUAAAAGCUGAGAAAUAUAUUUAUCGCGUAAAUUGUAGAUACGCCCAUAUUGUUUCUGGCUACCCUGUCGGAAAAAUAUUCGGAUAUUCCUUUUAUGAGAACUGCUAAGCAAUACAUUUAUUACGAGUAUUAUUGGUAUGAAAAAUUUUUCCAUUAGAUAUACUGACAUAUUGCGUUUAUCUCAUAAAGUCUACAUAAAAUCGGUAACCUUAUAAUUUCAAAAAGUUAUUUUGUUGAUCGUAAUGACCAUUUUUACUACUAUAGGAUUCAAUUUAAUAUAAUUACGCAUAACAAUACCUCGAAAAAAGUGUAUGGGAGUGUCAGCUGAUCGCAAAAAACGUAAUUGCCUUCCAAUAAACCAAGAUAUGCAACAACGGCAGAUCUAUUUGCAACGAGCUAGGGA